UACGAGGGGGGCAAGCGUUGUUCGGAAUUAUUGGGCGUAAAGGGUGCGUAGGCGGUUUGGUAAGUCUUAUGUGAAAUCUACAGGCUCAACUUGUAGUCUGCAUGAGAAACUGCCGGGCUUGAGUAUGGGAGAGGUGAGUGGAAUUCUCGGUGUAGUGGUGAAAUGCGUAGAUAUCGAGAGGAACACCAGCGGCGAAGGCGGCUCACUGGGCACCACCUGACGCUGAGGCGCGAAAGCGUGGGGAGCGAACCGG
rnacentral:rRNA from 1 species